UACGUAGGGUGCGAGCGUUGUCCGGAAUUAUUGGGCGUAAAGAGCUCGUAGGCGGUCUGUCGCGUCGGUCGUGAAAACUUGGGGCUUAACCCUGAGCUUGCGGUCGAUACGGGCAUGACUGGAGUUCGGCAGGGGAGACUGGAAUUCCUGGUGUAGCGGUGAAAUGCGCAGAUAUCAGGAGGAACACCGAUGGCGAAGGCAGGUCUCUGGGCCGAUACUGACGCUGAGGAGCGAAAGCGUGGGGAGCAAACAGG
rnacentral:rRNA from 1 species